GACGAACGCUGGCGGCGUGCCUAAUACAUGCAAGUAGGACGCAGUUGCGAACGGGUGAGUAACGCGUAGGUACCUGCCUAUUAGAGGGGGAUAACUAUUGGAAACGAUAGCUAAUACCGCAUACUAGUAGAUGGACCUUCGUUGUAUUAGGUAGUAGGUAGGGUAAUGGCCUACCUAGGCGACGAUACAUUGCCGACCUGGAGGGGUGGUCGGGCAAAAUGGGACUGGGACACGGCCCAGGCUCCUACGGGAGGGAGGAAGAGGGGAUCUUCGGAAAUGGGGGGAAAGCUGACCGAGCAACGCCGGGGGAGUGAAGGAGGUUUUCGGGUCGUAAAGCUCUGUUGUUAAGGAAGCGGUACUUAACCAGAAAGGGACGGCUAACUACGUGCCAGCAGCCGCGGUAAUUC
rnacentral:rRNA from 1 species